AAUCCCGUAGCUUAGCUGGAUAGAGCACUGGCCUUCUAAGCCGAUGGCCGCAGAUUCGAAUCCUGCCGGGAUCGCCA
rnacentral:tRNA from 1 species